rnacentral:lncRNA from 1 species
AAUUCCUGCUGGGGACGCGGGCCCCGGCGGCCGCGGGAAGCCAAGGUGGGGGCGGCGCGGGGCGGCGCGGGGCGGCGGGAGAAGGAAGAGGAGGAGGAGGGCUCUUUUGUUAUGCAUAGAAGACCCGCGCACGUCCCCGCGGCUUGCCGCGCCCGGGGACCCCGGGCACAGCCAGAGGACAGGAAAGCAGAUGGGGUUUGGAAGAACGAUCUACACCCUCUGGAUGCUGCUGCCGCCAUCCCCGCCCGCCCUCAGCAACCUGUGCGGAAGCGGAGUUGUCCAGACUUGCCGGGGCAAACUUCUUAACAUCGCACGCUGGUGUGACACAUGAACCAUGGUUACCGCUCUGCUGCGAGCAGAUGGCACGCCAGUUAGCCCUGGAGACAAGACUGGAAGCCAAACCAGAAGUUUUUCUAACUUUUUUUUGUUUGUUUGUUUUGUGUGUGUGGCAAAUCCGGAAAUGUUUUUUGGUGUUCCCUUUUCGGCAAAUUGCAAAUAAUUAGGAGGGAAAAAGCUUUAUAUAAAAAAGUAGUUCUUUGCAAUAGGGACUAGCAUUCUGGGAGACAGUCUAGAAAAUUUCCUCAACACCACUGAUCUGUAUUAAAUGUUUCACUUCUUUCAUCCUACAGUUUCUUGUUUAAAAUAUGAAUGUUGGUAGAGAUGGACUUUUUACAAAACAGACUUUAUUGUUUAGAAGUUUUCAAUUUACAGAAAAAUUGAGAUAGUACCAAGAAUUCCCAUAUAUUCAGCACCCAAUUUCACCCACUAUUAACAUUUUGUGUUAGUAUAGAAUAUUUUUUGAAAUUAAUGAUCUAAUAUUGGUACAUUCUUCUGAGCUCAAGUCAUUACUUUAUUCAGAUUUACUUAAUUUUUUCCUAAUGGCCCUUUUUUCUGUUCAGGAUACCACAUUACCUUUAGUUCCUAUGUCUCUAGGCUCCUCUUGGCUAUGACAGUUUCUCAUACUUUCCUCAUUUUUGAUACCUGGACAUUUUUGAGUAGUAUUGGUCAAGUAUUUUGUAAGAUAUCCCUCAACUGAAAUGUGAGACAGCCUUCUUAAAGCAUCAGACAUUCUUAAAUGUACAGACAUGUCCCUACCCCCCAUCUACUUUACAGCAAAGGUAUCAUUUUCCUUUCUAUACCAAGACUCCAUUCUUCACCACUUACCCUCCAAAUAUUUUUAUUUUAUUUUAUUUUUGGAGACGGAGUCUUGCACUGUCACCCAGGCUAGAGUGUAGUGGCCCAAUCUCGGCUCACUGAAACCUCCACCUCCUGGGUUCAAGCGAUUCUCUGCCCCAGCCUCCCGAGUAGCUGGGACUACAGCCGUGCGCCACCACGCCCAGCUAAUUUUUGUAUUUUUAGUAGAGAUGGGGUUUUGCUGUGUUGGCCAGGUUGGUCUCGAACUCCUAACCUCAGGUGAUCUGCCUGCCUGCCUUGGCCUCCCAAAGUGCUGGGAUUACAGGUGUGAGACACCGUGCCCGGCCUCAAAUACAUAUAUUUUAAAUGAACUCUCAGCAGAAUUCAGAAUGCUCAAUCAAGUCCUUCACUUCGUACUCUAGAUUGCUGGUAAAUACGGCCUAAAAAAAAAAAAAUCACUGCUAGGUCAU